ACGUAAUAGAUACCCGGGUAGUCCACGCCGUAAACGAUGAUGACUAGCUGUCGGAGCGCUUGGCGUUUCGGUGGCGCAGCUAACGCGUUAAGUCAUCCGCCUGGGGAGUACGGCCGCAAGGUUAAAAACUCAAAGAAAUUGACGGGGGCCUGCACAAGCGGUGGAGCAUGUGGUUUAAUUCGAAGCAACGCGCAGAACCUUACCAGCGUUUGACAUGGUAGGACGGUUUCCAGAGAUGGAUUCCUUCCCUUACGGGACGUACACACAGGUGCUGCAUGGCUAUCGUCAGCUCGUGUCGUGAGAUGUUGGGUUAAGUCCCGUCAACGUAGCGUCAACCCGUCGUCUCUAGUUG
rnacentral:rRNA from 1 species